GAUUCCGUGGUGUAGUUGGUUUAUCACAACACUCUAACACAGUGCAGGUCUCCGGUUCGAUCUCGAACAGAAAGC